rnacentral:rRNA from 1 species
UACGGAGGGUGCAAGCGUUAUCCGGAUUCACUGGGCUUAAAGGGUGCGUAGGUGGGUUGGUAAGUCAGUGGUGAAAUCCCCGAGCUUAACUUGGGAACUGCCAUUGAUACUAUCAGUCUUGAAUACCGUGGAGGUCAGCGGAAUAUGUCAUGUAGCGGUGAAAUGCUUAGAUAUGACAUAGAACACCAAUUGCGAAGGCAGCUGGCUACACGGAUAUUGACACUGAGGCACGAAAGCGUGGGGAGCAAACAGG